UUUAUGGAGAGUUUGAUCCUGGCUCAGGAUGAACGCUGGCGGCGUGCCUAAUACAUGCAAGUCGAGCGAACGGACGAGAAGCUUGCUUCUCUGAUGUUAGCGGCGGACGGGUGAGUAACACGUGGAUAACCUACCUAUAAGACUGGGAUAACUUCGGGAAACCGGAGCUAAUACCGGAUAAUAUUUUGAACCGCAUGGUUCAAAAGUGAAAGACGGUCUUGCUGUCACUUAUAGAUGGAUCCGCGCUGCAUUAGCUAGUUGGUAAGGUAACGGCUUACCAAGGCAACGAUGCAUAGCCGACCUGAGAGGGUGAUCGGCCACACUGGAACUGAGACACGGUCCAGACUCCUACGGGAGGCAGCAGUAGGGAAUCUUCCGCAAUGGGCGAAAGCCUGACGGAGCAACGCCGCGUGAGUGAUGAAGGUCUUCGGAUCGUAAAACUCUGUUAUUAGGGAAGAACAUAUGUGUAAGUAACUGUGCACAUCUUGACGGUACCUAAUCAGAAAGCCACGGCUAACUACGUGCCAGCAGCCGCGGUAAUACGUAGGUGGCAAGCGUUAUCCGGAAUUAUUGGGCGUAAAGCGCGCGUAGGCGGUUUUUUAAGUCUGAUGUGAAAGCCCACGGCUCAACCGUGGAGGGUCAUUGGAAACUGGAAAACUUGAGUGCAGAAGAGGAAAGUGGAAUUCCAUGUGUAGCGGUGAAAUGCGCAGAGAUAUGGAGGAACACCAGUGGCGAAGGCGACUUUCUGGUCUGUAACUGACGCUGAUGUGCGAAAGCGUGGGGAUCAAACAGGAUUAGAUACCCUGGUAGUCCACGCCGUAAACGAUGAGUGCUAAGUGUUAGGGGGUUUCCGCCCCUUAGUGCUGCAGCUAACGCAUUAAGCACUCCGCCUGGGGAGUACGACCGCAAGGUUGAAACUCAAAGGAAUUGACGGGGACCCGCACAAGCGGUGGAGCAUGUGGUUUAAUUCGAAGCAACGCGAAGAACCUUACCAAAUCUUGACAUCCUUUGACAACUCUAGAGAUAGAGCCCUUCGGGGACAAAGUGACAGGUGGUGCAUGGUUGUCGUCAGCUCGUGUCGUGAGAUGUUGGGUUAAGUCCCGCAACGAGCGCAACCCUUAAGCUUAGUUGCCAUCAUUAAGUUGGGCACUCUAAGUUGACUGCCGGUGACAAACCGGAGGAAGGUGGGGAUGACGUCAAAUCAUCAUGCCCCUUAUGAUUUGGGCUACACACGUGCUACAAUGGACAAUACAAAGGGCAGCGAAACCGCGAGGUCAAGCAAAUCCCAUAAAGUUGUUCUCAGUUCGGAUUGUAGUCUGCAACUCGACUACAUGAAGCUGGAAUCGCUAGUAAUCGUAGAUCAGCAUGCUACGGUGAAUACGUUCCCGGGUCUUGUACACACCGCCCGUCACACCACGAGAGUUUGUAACACCCGAAGCCGGUGGAGUAACCUUUUAGGAGCUAGCCGUCGAAGGUGGGACAAAUGAUUGGGGUGAAGUCGUAACAAGGUAGCCGUAUCGGAAGGUGCGGCUGGAUCACCUCCUUU
rnacentral:rRNA from 1 species